rnacentral:rRNA from 1 species
AUGGAAGCAGACAACCUUCUUCGCCGCGGCUGGCCUGCUAAUGCAUCCUGCCCCCUCUGUCUGUCGGAACCCGAGACCUGUACGCACUUGUUUGUGCAUUGCCGAUACACGCAGCAGCUUUGGGGUUUGCUCAAGCGCAGGUUUGGGGCUCACUUCAUCACGCCAGAGGACAGUUUUAGCGGCAUAGAGGAGUGGUGGCUCCAGGCCAGAGCCGGCGUUCCUAAACCGAUGCGUCGCAACUUCGACACUUUUACUAUUCUCAUGCACUGGAGGCUGUGGAAGGAGAAGAACUCCAGGAUUUUUGACCAGAUGGCAAGCAGCGCCGACAGGGUGCUGGAUUUGGUCUAUGAAGAUAUUGCGGUUUGACGUGCGGCCGGUUGUAUUGUUGAGCUCGGAGCCUAA